GAUGAACGCUGGCGGCGUGCCUAAUACAUGCAAGUCGAGCGAACAGAUGAGGAGCUUGCUCCUCUGACGUUAGCGGCGGACGGGUGAGUAACACGUGGAUAACCUACCUAUAAGACUGGGAUAACUUCGGGAAACCGGAGCUAAUACCGGAUAAUAUAUUGAACCGCAUGGUUCAAUAGUGAAAGACGGUUUUGCUGUCACUUAUAGAUGGAUCCGCGCCGCAUUAGCUAGUUGGUAAGGUAACGGCUUACCAAGGCAACGAUGCGUAGCCGACCUGAGAGGGUGAUCGGCCACACUGGAACUGAGACACGGUCCAGAUUCCUACGGGAGGCAGCAGUAGGGAAUCUUCCGCAAUGGGCGAAAGCCUGACGGAGCAACGCCGCGUGAGUGAUGAAGGUCUUCGGAUCGUAAAACUCUGUUAUUGGGGAAGAACAAAUGUGUAAGUAACUAUGCACGUCUUGACGGUACCUAAUCAGAAAGCCACGGCUAACUACGUG
rnacentral:rRNA from 1 species